GGGGAUGUAACUCAAUGGACAGAGUGCUGGCCUUCUAAUCCAGUUGUUGCAGGUUCGAGUCCUGCCAUCCCCA
rnacentral:tRNA from 1 species